UGGGGAAUCUUGGACAAUGGGGGCAACCCUGAUCCAGCCAUGCCGCGUGAGUGAUGAAGGCCUUAGGGUCGUAAAGCUCUUUCGCCUGUGAAGAUAAUGACGGUAGCAGGUAAAGAAACCCCGGCUAACUCCGUGCCAGCAGCCGCGGUAAUACGGAGGGGGUUAGCGUUGUUCGGAAUUACUGGGCGUAAAGCGCACGUAGGCGGACCAGAAAGUUGGGGGUGAAAUCCCGGGGGCUCAACCCCGGAACUGCCUCCAAAACUAUUGGUCUAGAGUUCGAGAGAGGUGAGUGGAAUUCCAAGUGUAGAGGUGAAAUUCGUAGAUAUUUGGAGGAACACCAGUGGCGAAGGCGGCUCACUGGCUCGAUACUGACGCUGAGGUGCGAAAGUGUGGGGAGCAAACAGGAUUAGAUACCCGUGGGUAGUCCACACCGUAAAACGAUGAAUGCCAGUCGUCGGGUAGCAUGCUAUUCGGUGACACACCU
rnacentral:rRNA from 1 species